CUACGGGAGGCUCCAGUGAGGAAUAUUGCACAAUGGGGGGAACCCUGAUGCAGCAACGCCGCGUGGAGGAUGACGCAUUUCGGUGUGUAAACUCCUUUUAUAUGUCAAGAAAAUGACGGUAGCAUAUGAAUAAGCACCGGCUAACUCCGUGCCAGCAGCCGCGGUAAUACGGAGGGUGCAAGCGUUACUCGGAAUCACUGGGCGUAAAGGACGCGUAGGUGGGUUGGAAAGUCAGGUGUGAAAUCCUACAGCUUAACUGUAGAACUGCACUUGAAACUUCUAAUCUAGAGUAUGGGAGGGGGAGUUGGAAUUAGUGGUGUAGGGGUAAAAUCCGUAGAUAUCACUAGGAAUACCUAAAGCGAAGGCGAUCUCCUGGAACAUUACUGACGCUAAGGCGUGAAAGCGUGGGGAGCAAACAGGAUUAGAUACCCGGGUAGUC
rnacentral:rRNA from 1 species